UUAUUUUUAACAGCUUAAACAAAAAAAAAUAUUCUUAAUAUUUUUAAUUGCGCAACAUUUCAAUAUACAUCGUCAAGAUUAUUUGCCAAUAUGAGAUAAAAAUAGAUAAAAUACACAGAAGAGUUAAAAAUGAAGAGAUCUGCAAAAGUUCAUUGAACUGAGAAACCCCUGCCCCCAUACUUCCAUUCAUACAAUUAUUAACAUUUGUCAUAAUUUCUUCUGAUAUAUAUAAUUAUAUAACGUAUGAUACAAUGAACAUGUAUUUAUAUCAAAAUCUCUGAGUAGAAUCUUUGUGUUUAUUUUUGUUAUUUCAUUUUCUUUAAAUUAAGGUAAUAUAUAGAAAAGGAAACAAAAUGUACUCAUGAACAAAAGCUUAAGGAAAGAGACUGCAUUUACACAUAUAAUAUAUAAGUUUUAUGGAAAGCAAAAUUUUUUCUCUAAUUUUCUAUUUUAUACAAAAUAUGAAGAGAAAAGAUACCAGGUAUACAAAUAUUGCUAUGUUAUUGACAUCACAAAUAUAUAAAUAUCAGAAACUGAAAAAGUGAGUGAAUAAAUUUAUCACGAAAGACAGUGUUUCGCAUUCUCUUCAUGAUCUCAUGUGCUUUAAUUUUUAAUUAAUCAAAGUGUCCUAAGAUUCAGCACUAAUAUAACUUCUCCUGUAAAAUGCAACUGAUUAGAAGAAAGAGUCGUGAUCGUAACAGCAUCGACAGAUGGGUAAUAUAAGAAAUUAAUACUUGUUAUUCGAAAAUUUCAGAUGAUAUGUUUCGAAAUUACUUUUCCAUUCAUGAGGCUUUAUUAGCUAUACAAUAUUUUGAACAUUUAUGCUUAGAUUAUGUUUUGAAUUUCCACAGAAUUGAACUUUCCAUAGGGAAACGCUUAGCACAGAAAGGCGCUAAAGUGAUGAUUAGUAGUCAUAAAGAAUCGAAUGUGAAGAAUGCUGUAGAAAAACUUCGAUCCGAAGGAUUACAAGUUUCAGGUGUUGUUUGCCACGUGGGGAAGGCAGAAGAUAGGAAAAAUCUCUUUGAAAAAACGAAAGUGAAAUUGGAGAUUUAGAUAUUUAUUGGUAUCUAAUACAGCUCUUAACCCAGCCAAUGGCAAGAUAUUAAAUAACACUGCAGAAGUAUGGGAUAAAAAUUUUGAUGUCAACAUUAAAUCUCCAUUUUUGCUCAUGAAGGAGUCUCUGUCACUUCUUAAAUGUAGUAAAUUGUCGCCUUCCAUUAUUACUAUAUCUUCAAAUGUUGCAUAUCAAUAUUAUAAAUUCCUUGGUAUAUAUUCAAUUAGCAAGGCUGCAUUAUUGAGUCUGACUAAAAUAACUGCAAUGAAACUUGCAUUUAACGGGAUUUGUGUAAACUGUGCAUCAGGGAUAAUAAAGACAAAAUUUUCAAAAACAGAUAAACCCGUCAAUGUUUGUGGCUCUGCGCGAUAUUUAUUCGAACGAUUCGGAUGAGAGAGAAAGAAUGUCGCUUCGGCUUCGUACGGUGAUUGAAAUAAUCACUUGAUGAAGUAAAACCUUUUCGAGAUGUAUGUCACCAGGAUGUGAAACUCAUCAUAAUUCGAUGUUGGAACUGCUACGACGGACGUAUCGGUUGAAGUAAUCCGGUCGCCAACACUUGCAGCUACCUGGUACGAGGAACCAAUCGUAAUACAAUCGUACCUGAAAGGAAAAAUAAUAUAUAAAGAUAUAAGAAUAAUCAAAAGAUCCUACUUGGAAGCAACCCAUUUCGUCGACACCGUCGCAGUGAUGUUGCUGAGAGCCACCAUUGUUACGCGCCUCUCCCGUGCUCGCCCGUUUCUGCAAAUAUUGCUGAUAAUUUUGGAAGUCGUGGACUGGCGGCGGUGAUCCAGCGACGGGAUCCCGGGUACCGGAUCCGAUACCAACCGCUUGAUUUUCCUCCAAGAACGUGUCCGGAUAAAAUAUCUCGGCCACCAACAGGCUCGUCCAUCUCGGUGACGACAAGCAUCCACCGUCCAGGUAAUGGCAUCUCGAUUGCCUGCAACAUCAGUCAGGAGGAUCUUGAAAAUACUUGAAAUGAUUUCAAGGGGGUCUACUAAAAGUAAUGAAUGGCCAGUUAGGUCGAAAUUUCAAUAAAUUUGUAUGGUUUUACUCAUCACAGGCGACUUUAUUAAUUUUAUCGUUAGUCUACUAAAAGUGUUUCGAUAUCUUACAUGCAUCUGGUGAGCUCGAUAGUCUGUGUGAAGUAUCCCUCGUAAGGUAUCUGCACCACGUAUCUCCAAACACCCUGAUAAUUCUUGGCGAAGACGGGAGUCGCAUAUUCGACCUUGGCCGGACACGGCGUCGGCGGACCCGUAUAUUCCGUUUUCUCUUGUGAAGGUACACGUUCCCCUCGUCGAUACUCGGAUGUCGAAGGUUCGUCCCGACGUUCGAUAACUGAUGCUGAUGACGAGAUCGGCUCACCUUGGAUCGCUUUGUACAACAUGCACACUCUGUUCGUGUAACAUGUGUAUGUAAGAAAAUAUCGAGGAAGAGAUCAUUAAUUACUACAAGAGUAUGCAGUCUUCAUACAGAACUUGUUGAGAUAGAUUCUUGAAACAGUGAGAUAUACUUACACUCCGCCACCGUUUUCGCAAAACUUGCGACCGUUUCGAUUAGUAUCCGUAAUUAAAGCCGAAUUCGGAUUAGACCUUUUGCUUCUACUGUGUGUUUCUUCUUCGUCUGUAUCAACACUACAAAAAGAGAAUUUUCACUGAUUUGAUACAUCGAAUUGAUGUAUUCAAUUUGCGGCUAAAGCAAAAAUUGUCGAGCACCAGUUUAACAUAGCUACAUUCGACGCAUCUUAUACUGAAGAUAUCUCGGACUACUUACGAAUUUUGCGACAACGAAUGCACUUUGGCGACCUUCGGCAGUGAGUCAUCAGCCUUGAGGAUCGGCAACGCCUUGCUGAGGAAUUUCAGGUUUUUCUCCGUCUUCUCAACAAGAUUUCUCUAGACGUGCUCCUGCGGUAUAAUAAUAACGGCUAACAAGUUAUUACGUUGGCGCGAUUACGAGAGAGGUAUUCCCUCGUAGUUACCGAGGUAUGCGUUGGAUGCUAACGGUACACGGUCCAUGGUCGGCGCUUCUCGUGCUCCGGGCUGUUCAGCCUAUUUUAUAACACGCGUGCUACUCGAUCGUUGCCCUACUAACCGGUGCAUUAUACCGUUCCACUGAUAAUAAUCACACUUUGCUUAAGGGCUGAUAAGUCGAAAAAAGGAAAGAAUGAUGCUUUUAUUAUUAUUAUAUUUUAUUGAUAUUAUUAUUUUUUUUCGAAGCGUCCUGAGUGCAGUUCCUGAAGUAGUUUACAUGCUUUACAAUAUAUAUUCUGUAUGAA